rnacentral:tRNA from 1 species
AGUUCCUUGGCUGAGAUUUAGGCAUGUGUUUUGAAAACACACCACAGAGUAAUACUCUAGGAACUU